GCCAGCCCUAAAAUGAUGUUCCACAGCUAGCAAAUGCCAGGAGUCAUGAGACGUGGGAGGCCUGUGAACAGGGAGGAGGAUGACUGUGAAAAGGUAGCAACUUAGGGCCAUAAUAGCAACAGGAACAGUCAACUCAGCCUGGCACCUGGCCCCCACGUGAGCUGGCAUUUCAUCACCAGUGCAACCUUGCAGCUCACUUCUGGGGUGUCAUGUCUUCAUUUCCCCAGUCACUGCAAAAAAUGGGACAACUAUACUGUAAUUCUAUGCAUCACAUUUGAGCAUCACAUUGGUGCUACUUUGCCGCCAGUAUUUCUCUUGGUUGUUACAGGAGGUGAACGUUCGUCAUUCUUCAACAUUGUAUUUGAGUCAGUAACCAGGAAUUUCCAAAACAAUGACUAUUAUGGGAAUGACUAGGGAACAUAAGUCGGGAAAAAGAGAAUGAACAACAAUAUAAAUUUGGGAGAAGCAAUGAAAUCAACAAAGAAACACACAGAGCCAACAUAGGCAGAGUGAUUUUAAGGAGACACACUGAUCUGUAAGCCUUUAAGACUUGCCUAAAGCUGCAUAAACAUAUAGAAAAAUACAAAGGAAACAUUGUUUAGAAGGUGAAAUUCAGCUGACCAUGAAAGCCACAGAAUAAAAAAAGCUUCACUUUCUUCCUCUUUUACAUAUUGGGCUUUUAUAUAAGAUCUUGGUUUUAAAAAGAGGCUUGUUGCUUUUUAAAUAAAUUUUCAAAGAUGUUUCCAAUCUGGUUUGUUUGAAGAGCAUUUUGAAUUAGAUGCGCAUCUCCAUCAUGAGUUCUAAUGCCAUUAGGCUUGCCCCUUAUUUUCUUGGAGUCUCAGUUCCAGUCGGUGAUAAACAGGUAUAAAAUGUUUUAAAAUACUCUAGAGUUGUUUUGAUGAUUAAAUAAAAAAGUACAUAAUGUAUGUGUUACAUUUUAUUCCUCUUUCUUCCCUCUGUAUUAGUUCUCUUUCUAGUGUGAAAUAUCCUUUCAUUAAUGGUUCUAAGAAAAAAGCCCUAUCUCACCAAGGCUUGAAGACAAUUGUGAGAACAAAUUAUGUUCAUUUAGAUGAUAAUUUUAGAUAAGCAUGGCUUAUUUCACAUAUUC
rnacentral:lncRNA from 1 species